CCAGAGGAAAGGUUGAGACUGGAGAUAUAAAUUUGGAAAUCUUCAGCUCCUGGGUUUUUCAAAACCUAAGCUAGGUGUGACCACCAAGGGGAUAAGUGUGGACAGAGGAGAUUCGAGGACUGAGCCCUGGGCAUGCCUCCACUGAAGGGUGAAAAUGGCCUGUGCCCCGGAAGCAGUUGCUUGUUGAGUGCUUUUGGGCCGAUUUCGGAGACUGUUGGGGGAGUUGUCGCCAUGUUCCUGUCCGCGGUCACCUUUGCCAAGAGCAAGUCAAAAACCAUUCUGGUGAAAAUGCUAAGCCAAGCUGGGACAGGUUACUCCUUCAACACUAAGAGAAGCCGACUACGGGAGAAACUGACUCUCUUACAUUAUGAUCCAAUUGGUUGGCAUCCCUGGUCACCACUCACAGAUUACCAGUGCCAAACUUGAUGAAAGCAGUAACCUUUCCAGUCUCCACCAUCAGUCUGAAUGGUGUCCUUCACCUUGAUGAGGGAAUCAGCAUAGCAGAUGAUGCAAGCAUAAUGGGUGACCAGUGAAAACAAAAGUCCUCUUUGUGGAACAGAAAAAAAUACGCUCCCUCUAAACAAUGGAUUGAAAAUGAACUUGAUUUAUAAAUGAGAAGACUGAGGGCGGGAUACUGAUUCAGAAAUUCUGCAGCGUGUAAUAAAAGAAGAGGAAAUGGCACGGAAUCACUGCCUCCUGUGAUUUGAAGGCCAUUGUGAAGGAAAACAAUGGACUGAAAGAAAGUUCUUCAUAUUAGGACAUAUAUCAUUGCAUCACAUUUAUUUAUCUUUCUGGAUAUUUUUAUAGCCCUUAAUAAAAAAUAUUAAAAUAGCGUGUA